rnacentral:rRNA from 1 species
UACGAAGGGGGCUAGCGUUGCUCGGAAUCACUGGGCGUAAAGCGCACGUAGGCGGAUCUUUAAGUCAGGGGUGAAAUCCCGGAGCUCAACUCCGGAACUGCCUUUGAUACUGAGGGUCUUGAGUCCGGGAGAGGUGAGUGGAACUGCGAGUGUAGAGGUGAAAUUCGUAGAUAUUCGCAAGGACACCAGUGGCGAAGGCGGCUCACUGGCCCGGUACUGACGCUGAGGUGCGAAAGCGUGGGGAGCAAACAGG